GGCCCGUUCGUCUAGUGGUCAGGACUCCAGGUUUUCGACCUGGCAACAGGAGUUCGAUUCUCCUACGGGCUA
rnacentral:tRNA from 1 species